CAGUGAUGCUAGGGGUAGGCAGACUCUACAUGGCAGACCCUUUGGGGAGUGGUUAGGUCAUAAGAGUACUGCUUCUGCAAAUGGGAUCAGUAUGGUAAAAGGAGCCACGAAGAGUUAUAGCCACAGACCAGCUCCACCAGAUGCUUAAUCUACCCACAUUUAAGACUUUUAAUCUCCAGAAAUAUUGCUCCAGACAAAUCUGACACCUGCUAUCUGCUAGCCUCACCACCAUGGCAGCCCUUGUCAAGACUUGCUUCUUUUUCUCUGCACUCAGGACCCAUUGUUGUCUGUGAUUGAAGACUUCCUCCUUUGGGAGAUGCUACAACUUGAAUCUGGAAUAUCCUUUGAAGGUCCAGGUUACGAGAGUGGUGAGUUGUGUGGACAACAAUGGAACCUUCAAGAUAUAGAGUCUAGUGAGAGGCCUUAUUGGGCAUAUGACGUAAAAGGGAAUAAUUGGACCCAGGCUCUUCCCAUCAGCUCUUUCACAUCCUGGCCAUGAAAUUAAUGAUUUCACUAUUCACCCUUCUGACAGAAUGUGUUAUACUGUGUGAUCUUUUCCUUGGAAGACACAAACAAGUAUCUGCUCACUUCAGAAAGUAUGCCAAUGACAGAUUAAGGAAAUAAUUACAUCUAUGUUCAGCAUAAUGGGUCAAUGAUUACUAGACUUACUUAAAGAAGAAUGCUUAGAGGAGUGAAGGGGCCCACAAGACAGCUGCAUCACUGAAAAAUCCCACCUAAUUUUUAUGAUGAUGACCUCAUAAAAAUUGUAGAGAUGGAGUCACAUCGUCACUUAACCUUCCACUGACUAUAUACUCUAGCAUCUCCCAAGAUCAUACUAGCCGGCAUACCAUCACAUGCAGCUGUAGGACAUUGGGCUGCAGAAGAAAUCAAUGACUGGAGUCUCAGGAGUGUCUGCGUUCCAUCCUCUCUGUUUGUGUGGCAGAGUAACUAGUGAGGCUCUCCUGCAAGUAAUCACAUCUAUGAUUUCAAGAUGGCCAUGGCCAGGCCUGAAGAACAGAACUCCUUACCAUUGACCCCACUCCUGAGUAGAAGCCCAAGAGCAAUGGGAAUAAUUGAUAAUGGGACAAAACGCAAGAACCUGUGAGCCCAGAUGGACUUUCAUUUUUGUACAUCGACUAUUUCAGCUUUUUCUCUGCAUUAAUAUAAAACUAAACAAGAAGACAGGCAAUGUCUAUUUGGGCUUCAGGUAAUUCUUUUAAAUUUUCUCCUUCCAAUCCAAAUGCAGAACAGCGGGGAACUUACCAACUGUCAUAUAAGUCAUAUAAGUAAUAAAUAAUUGAAUCUUUA